AGCAUUUGUGGGUGGUUGAAGAAUUACUAUUAACCUGGUGAGGCCCCAAACCUUGGGACCAGGGGCAUUGAGACUGCAAAGAAAGUACACGUCGUGAAAUGGAAUAUAUGUGUGAGGGUUUUCAACAAGUAGCUGUUGAACGAGUGAGCGAUGGGUACAUGGACUAAUGGAUGAAUAAAUAAAAGCAAAGAUGAGUAAACUUCCCAUGAA